rnacentral:rRNA from 1 species
AGAGUUUGAUCCUGGCUCAGGAUGAACGCUAGCGGCAGGCCUAAUACAUGCAAGUCGAGCGGCAAGUCGAGGAGUAAUCUAAGACCUAGAGCGGCGCACGGGUGCGUAACGCGUAUGUAACCUACCCUAUACAGGGGGAUAGCCCGGAGAAAUCUGGAUUAAUACCCCAUGGCACUGCGAAUCAGCAUUGGGCUGCAGUUAAAGAUUUAUCGGUAUAGGAUGGACAUGCGUCUGAUUAGCUAGUUGGCGGUGUAACGGACCACCAAGGCGACGAUCAGUAGGGGUUCUGAGAGGAAGGUCCCCCACACUGGCACUGAGAUACGGGCCAGACUCCUACGGGAGGCAGCAGUAGGGAAUAUUGGGCAAUGGACGAGAGUCUGACCCAGCCAUGCCGCGUGCAGGAAGAAGGCGUUCUGCGUUGUAAACUGCUUUUAUCUGGGAAGAAAAGGCCCAUGCGUGGGACAUUGCCGGUACCAGAUGAAUAAGCACCGGCUAACUCCGUGCCAGCAGCCGCGGUAAUACGGAGGGUGCAAGCGUUGUCCGGAUUUAUUGGGUUUAAAGGGUGCGUAGGCGGUUGAUUAAGUCAGUGGUGAAAGUUUUGGGCUCAACCCAGAAAUUGCCAUUGAUACUGGUCGACUUGAGUAUUGCAGGGGUACAUGGAAUUGAUGGUGUAGCGGUGAAAUGCAUAGAUACCAUCAGGAACACCGAUAGCGAAGGCAUUGUACUGGGCAACCACUGACGCUGAUGCACGAAAGCAUGGGGAGCGAACAGGAUUAGAUACCCUGGUAGUCCAUGCCGUAAACGAUGAUUACUCGCUGUUAUGCUCUCGUAGUGUAGCGGCCAAGCGAAAGCGUUUAAGUAAUCCACCUGGGGAGUACGCCCGCAAGGGUGAAACUCAAGGAAUUGACGGGGGUCCGCACAAGCGGUGGA